rnacentral:lncRNA from 1 species
CAAGACGCUAAAGAAUUUGAUGGUUAAUAUUUGAAAUUUUAAAGCUUAAAUUUUAAUUUAUUUAUAUUUUUAGCUGAAUUUAUUUAUUUUUUAAAAAAAACUAAACCGGCAGCAUGCUGCCUCUCUCUCUCUCUCUCUCUCAAAUGAAAAAAAAAAAUAUAGAAAAACUUUAAAAACCUUCAUUGUGAUUUUAUAUUUUUUUAUUUUAGUACUCUGUGGUUUAAAGUGUAUCAAGUUAGUACCAUAUGGUUUCACACUUUUUCACUUUAGUACCAUAUGGUUUAAAGUGUAUCAAGUUAGUACUCUGUGGUUUUAUUUUUGUAUCAAGUUAGUAUCCUGUGGUUUUAUUUUUCUCUUAAUGAAAUAUUAAACCACAGAGUACUAAUGUGAGAAAGUGCGAAACCACAUGGUACUAACUUGAUACACUUUAAAUCAUAGGGUACUAAAGUGAGAAAGUGCGAAACCACAGGGUACUAACUUGAUACACUUUAAACCACAGGGUACUAAAGUGAAAAAAGUGAACACACAUGAGGGGUAUUUGAAGUUUUCCCAAAAAAUAUCUAUCUUACUUUCGGGGUAAAUUGCACCUUUGAUUCUCAAACUAUUCUUUGCGCCUUAAAUUUUAACUUUUUAUAAUUUCCGACUCAAAUUUUUAAUACUAUUAUAAGUAAAAUUUUACAAGCUAAUUUUGUUGAUUAAUUAUUGACACAUCGCUGAAUAAAAAUGAUGUGAUAUUUUUUUGUUGUUGGUCUAUCAUCAAUCACAACACUACUUUAUCCGCUUUGUUUAUUUAAUUAAAAAAAAAACUUAGCUGAAAAUAUAAAUUAAUUAGAAUUUAAAUUUGAGAUCUCAUGUACCAACCAUCAAGUCCCCUGCUACUUGCGCUAGAGACGGUCGAUAAUUAUAAUACUAUUAUAUCACUUUUAUAUUAGCGAUAUAUCAAUUAAAGUUUCGUCAAUUAAAUUAGGUUAGAGAACUCCAUUGCAAUAAUUUUGAAAGUUCGAGCGAAAUUAAAGUUUGACG